UGUGAGACGACACACUUGAUCCAACGGCUGUACAUCCACUGUGGCGCGAUCGGACGGCUGCAGGUUUCUCCCGUUCGUCCGAGAGUAUCGCUCGCAUCAUCGCCAAAGAAACCCUCGCCUCUCGGCCGCCGCCCUCCGGUCCGGGAGUCCAUCCGUCCACUGGAGCAUGCCGCCUCGAGCUCUUCCCUCGCAGUCGCCGACGUUAGAUGAUGAAAUGUAAGUUUGUCUUGGUUUGACUCUUAAAGUUGGCAGUAUGAAUGCCCAUGGCAAUUCAAAUCUGAUGUAUCUUCCAGAUGUAGAUUAAAUAGUGGCUACUUACCACUAAUAAAGAAGUAUUUCUAGCGUGAGAUGUAUUUUUGACCGUCGAAAAUUCAAUUCAUGUACAAUGAUUGACACGGAGUAUUUUGGAUCAACUUCAGACAAUAAGGUACUGGGUGGUUUUGCUGCUCAGCUGAUUGUUGUUGCUGGCUUUGGAGGUUUGGUUAGUUCUGGUGUGAUUUGUUCGUGGGUUUUUGUACUUGGUGCCAAGACGGAGGUCGGUGGGUGUGGGAUGAGGUACAUACUUGUGGUGCAACUCUACUUUGAAUGCUUAGCCAUAGUCCAAGACUCUUGAAGACCUGAAGGAUUUCAUUCCAUAUGAUACCCAAUGAGGCGGAAUUCUUAUUGUUUGGAGAUAUAGGCUUGUAGGCAAACAAGUUCAGACAGGCAUGGCUAAGGGCAGAUUGAAAGUUGAUGGUCUUCCAAGUGAAAUUGCUCCAACUGUCGCAGAGAAUGCGAAGACCAAACCUCCAUCAGCUGCCUCUUCAAAGUCCGGAUUGGAUAAAGAACUUUCUCCAUGUGAUAUUAGAUUUGUGAUCAAGGAGGGCAGCGUGAAGGGAAGAAGAGCUAGGCGUCACUGAAGCUUGGCACAGGUGUGAGUUUGCUUUGUGCGUUUUGGUACAUCCAGAAUACUAUCUUGUGUGGGCAUGGCCUAUUUUGACAAUAUAGCUCUGCUUAUCAUCUCUGUUUGAUAGACAAUAUUAGGAUGGAAGUAUUGUAGGGUUUGGCCUAUAGGGAGCAGGUCAGGUGUUUGAUGAAUUACCAUGGGAGCAUGCGAUUAUGAAAGUGAUCAUCCUAUGGCGUGGAUAUGGCUUCUUGUCUAGCAGAUUCACUGCUGAUUGGCACUUGCUGAGUCGAAGUUUCUUCUUCGUAAUCGGUUUUAGUUCUUCUUGUAUACCUCUAUAAAGGUGUGGUGGUCAGGUUUAGUCCAUGCUGCCUGCCUCUUUUGGUCUUGCUUUUGUUGAGUUUGAUGUCUUAUGCCGAAAUCAACUUAUUUUAUGAAACAAAUUGUAAUAAUUGUGCAGAUAGGAAUAAAUAGGAUCCUU